GCGCUGGUAGCUCAGUUGGAUAGAGUGUUUGGCUACGAACCAAAAGGUCGGGGGUUCGAAUCCCUUCCAGCGUACCA
rnacentral:tRNA from 2 species